rnacentral:rRNA from 1 species
GACAGAGGGUGCAAACGUUGCUCGGAAUUACUGGGCGUAAAGCGCGUGUAGGUGGAUUGGUGUGUCAGAUGUGAAAGCCCUGGGCUCAACCCAGGAACUGCACCUGAAACUACCAGUCUUGAGUGGUGGAGAGGGAAGUGGAAUUCCUGGUGUAGAGGUGAAAUUCGUAGAUAUCAGGAGGAACACCAGUGGCGAAGGCGGCUUCCUGGACCGGCAUUGACGCUGAGGCGCGAAAGCCAGGGGAGCAAACGGG